CACGUAGGGCGCAAGCGUUGUCCGGAAUUAUUGGGCGUAAAGAGCUCGUAGGCGGUCUGUUGCGUCCGCUGUGAAAACUCGGGGCUUAACCCCGAGCCUGCAGUGGAUACGGGCAGACUAGAGGUAGGUAGGGGAGAAUGGAAUUCCCGGUGUAGCGGUGAGAUGCGCAGAUAUCGGGAGGAACACCGGUGGCGAAGGCGGUUCUCUGGGCCGUUACUGACGCUGAGGAGCGAAAGCGUGGGGAGCGAACAGG
rnacentral:rRNA from 1 species